rnacentral:lncRNA from 1 species
GAAAGGCAGAGGAAAGUUUUUUCUUCAAAAAGGAAGAAGGUCAGCUAUUUUGGGAAACCAAAAGCUCUCAGCAAUUAGGAGAAUUCUUUUCUCUGCUCAGUGAUUAGAGAAGUCUGCAGGCAAGCAGCAGUUGCUGCAAACAGUAGUCUUGAAGAUGAACGAGAGGUAAAUGCCUUUGCCUUUGCAUGAAACAUGUCUUUGCAGAGGAUGAAGUGAAUAAUGCAACAUAUAUUGCUGUGCCAACAGUUAAAUUCUGACACAGAAUCUAUAAAUCUCUGUGCUGGGAUUCAUCAUUUCAGUUUGAGGAAACCGGAACUGACAAAUAAACAAAUCCCUGAAAUUUAAGGUAAAAUAAAGAAAAAAAUCUUUGUAAAUGUUAAAUAAUU